rnacentral:tRNA from 1 species
UUAAUUGAAACCAAAAAGAGGUAUUUUACUGUUAAUAAUUUCAAUGAAAAAUGAUUUUCCAAUUAAA